rnacentral:rRNA from 1 species
CCUGAUGCAGCCAUGCCGCGUGUGUGAAGAAGGCCUUCGGGUUGUAAAGCACUUUCAGUAAGGUGGUUAGGGUGUGAGUUAAUACCUCACAUCUGUGACGAUCCUGACAGAAGAAGCACCGGCUAACUCCGUGCCAGCAGCCGCGGUAAUACGGAGGGUGCGAGCGUUAAUCGGAAUUACUGGGCGUAAAGCGUACGCAGGCGGUUUGUUAAGCGAGAUGUGAAAGCCCCGGGCUCAACCUGGGAACUGCAUUUCGAACUGGCAAACUAGAGUGUGAUAGAGGGUGGUAGAAUUUCAGGUGUAGCGGUGAAAUGCGUAGAGAUCUGAAGGAAUACCGAUGGCGAAGGCAGCCACCUGGGUCAACACUGACGCUCAUGUACGAAAGCGUGGGGAGCAAACGGGAUUAGAUACCCCGGUAGUCCACGCCGUAAACGAUGUCUACUAGAAGCUCGGAACCUCGGUUCUGUUUUUCAAAGCUAACGCAUUAAGUAGACCGCCUGG